rnacentral:lncRNA from 12 species
AAACUUCGUACUCCAACUCUGUAGGAGCCAUUUCUCGAGCCCACUUUUGCCUAUUUUCUGGAGUCUCCCCUGCCAGCAUCCCAUCCAUCCUCGGGAAGAGCGAGGGACGCUCGCUGCAGAGUCUGGAGGGCGCUGGGAGGCAUGUGGGCAGCGUCAGAGUGGCCUCGCCUGGGCGGCCAGAGGAGCCCCAGCCUCCCUCAUGUGGGCCUCAGGAACUCGGGGGGCCCAGGGGAAGCCUGGAAAACCGAACUUCGCCAUCAGCCUUCCUUCGAGCGCUGGCUAGAGGAGAGGGGGGAAGGGCCCCCCAGCGGUCUUCCCCCCACUCCCCCCGCCCCCAGCACCUCUGCCAUCCGGCUGCACCGCCCAAGAAAGCACUCAGAACGCAGCUCUGAGCUCUCCAGCUCCUCGCAGGCCGGGAGAGGGUAUCUGGAGCGGGCAGUUUCCCCCUCCUGCCCGCGUCUGACAUCCCCACUCCCACCCAAGGAUGCUGCCGCCGUGCCCUGUCCGCGGUCGCUGAAUGUCACUGCUCCCUCUUCCUCCUGAUCAGGGUAGACACAGCUUCCGAGGCAUCUCCUACCCCCAAACUGCCGCGAUCACCCGAGGGUGCAAGGCCCGGGUGGAGGACGAAGUUUGGGGCCCGGAGCGGCGGGAGGGGGGGGCGCUUUGGCGAGGACCGCACCUCUCAGUCCCAGCCCUGGCGGGCACACUCCCCGCCCCAAACGGCCCAGGCUUCCCCACCCUCCCGCGGACACCGGCAUCCCCGCCCUCCCCCGAGGGCGGCGAGCGGAGCCCCCCAGGGCGGAGGCAGGUACCCCCGGGGCGGGGACUGGGGCGGGCGGGGUCCAGGCUGCGCCCCCGGCCGGGCCGGGCGGGCUAGCUGGCGGCGCGGGGGGAGCGGGGCUGGGCGGCGCUGCCUCGGGCUCUGUGCGCUGCAGCCCGGAGCCGAGGAGGAGGAGGCGGAGGAGGAGAAGGAGGCGGCGGCGGUGGGUCCCGGGCGGGGGGAGCGCGGCGCUGCGGACCCGGGCGGCUGGCAAAGGACGAGGCGGAGGCUGAGGAAGGCAGCGGGGAGACCCGGGCUGCAGCAACAAAGGGCAGCAAGCGAUUGGCCGGGCUGCAGGCGAGAUUUGCGUGAAGAUCUGGACAAUCCUCUUUUUUGUCAUGGACUGUUAAUACAUUUGGAGUUCCAAUUCUGGUAUUUUCCCUUAUCUUAUUAUAUUUUUAAGAUAUUGAAAUAUGUUGGUAAGGGAUACAAACGAUUCUGUUGAUUGUGUGUAAAGAUUGUGGUAAUAGCUUGCCAUGAAGGUAUAUUUUAAGUAUUUAUUGGUUUUUAUUUUAAGGUAUGUUCAUUUACUUGUGUAACCCAGAUGCCUGAGAGCACCUUUGCAAUAUUGGAUACUUUUCUGUGACCUUUUCUCCUGCUUCCUACAGUUGUGUUUUGUACAAUCAAAUUAAAUUGGUUGAUUCAUCCUAAGUAAAUGAUGAAAGAUGAAAUAAUUAUUUGGACAUAGUGAAAUGUCCUCUAAUGAAAUUUUGCCCUAAACCAUUUUACUUUGGAAAGAUGUGUCCUAUUCUAAACUUACUAACACACAAUGAUUCCCAUGUUCUAUCUUGAAAGUAGUUGCACUAUGAAAGCCAGUAAUUUCAUUCCUAAACACACACCAUAUUCCAAGUCCAACAUUUUUUCAAUGAUUUAUAUAAUGACACAAAAGGGAGCACUUCUUGGGUUUGCAGAUGACAUAGAUGACAGAAUUAAGAUUCAGAAGGAUCUAAUAUGUUGGAAGAGUGACUCAAACCAACAAAAUGAACUUGAACUGUAAUAAAUUUUAAAUCCCAGCAUUUAUAUUUGCA